AUUGAACGCUGGCGGCAGGCCUAACACAUGCAAGUCGGGCGAGAGGCGGACGGGUGAGUAAUGUAUGGGGAUCUGCCUGAUGGAGGGGGAUAACUACUGGAAACGGUAGCUACUACAGCAUACCAUCCAAUAAACCCAUAUGGGAUUAGCGUGUAGGUGAGUGAACGGCUAACCUAGGCGAAGAUCCCUAGAUGGUCUGAGAGGAUGAACAGCCACACGGGAACUGAGAAACGUCCCAGACUCCGACGGGAGGUAGCAGUGGGGAAUAUUGCACAAUGGGCGAAAGCCUGAUGCAGCCAUGUCGCGUGUAUGAAGAAGUCCUUCGGGUUGUAAAGUACUUUCAGUCGGGAGGCGUUACCGAUAGAAGAAGCACCGGCUAACUCCGUGCCAGCAGCCGCGGUAAUUC
rnacentral:rRNA from 1 species